rnacentral:ncRNA from 1 species
GAGAGCCGGAUGCGGCGACGAGUCGCACGUCCGGUUCGGAGGGCGGGCACGGGAAACGGACCAGCAGAAACGCUGGAACCGCGCCCGUGUCCGACCCUAC